rnacentral:rRNA from 1 species
UACGAAGGUCCCAAGCGUUGUUCGGAAUCACUGGGCGUAAAGGGAGCGUAGGCGGUUGGGUAAGUCAGAUGUGAAAUCCCGGGGCUCAACCCCGGAACUGCAUCCGAUACUGCCUGACUUGAGUAAUGGAGGGGUAGCUGGAAUUCUCGGUGUAGCAGUGAAAUGCGUGGAUAUCGAGAGGAACACUCGUGGCGAAGGCGAGCUACUGGACAUUUACUGACGCUGAGGCUCGAAGGCUAGGGGAGCAAAAGGG